GCUCCCUUAGUCUAGAGGCCAAGGAUACAGCCCUUUCGAGGCUGUGACCCGGGUUCGAAUCCCGGAGGGAGCA
rnacentral:tRNA from 1 species